AAGACCCGUGCCCACAGUUGCCAGCAUACCCUCCGGGGUGAUGGGCACACUGUGGGGACCGCCGCUGCUAAAGCGGAGGAAGGUGCGGGCUACGGUAGGUCAGUAUGCCCCGAAUCAUCCGGGCUACACGCGGGCUACAAUGGUUGGGACAAUGGGCACCUACACCGAAAGGUGAUGGUAAUCUCCUAAACCCAGCCUUAGUUCGGAUUGAGGGCUGCAACUCGCCCUCAUGAAGCCGGAAUCCGUAGUAAUCGCGUAUCAAUAUCACGCGGUGAAUAC
rnacentral:rRNA from 1 species